UGUGCAAAAGCACACCAGUGAUGGGAAAAUUACAGGAACAAUGGUGCCUUCAAACUGAAAUGACUGCCCUGGAGUCUGCAAGGUCAUGAAUCCAAACCCCAAAAUUUCCUUACAUCAGGACAAGUGUUCAUGAAGCCUGGGUCAUAAAAGAUUAAAUCAAGAAUCUCGGGAUCGAGGACGAAUUGCCUUCACUCAGGUUGGAUGGGUUCUGAGAUGGCCGAUAAGUCCAAUGUGCGAUCUGCAGGCCUCUACCACAUGUGGGGCAGGUGGUGCUUGAAGUGUUGGAAACCGUGACGGAAAGUUACUGAGUAAAUUCACAGGAUUCUGCUGAUGAACUUCUAACACAAAGGCCAGAAUCUUACGAUGAUCGGGCGGACAUGCAUCCGACACGAAAGCACGUGAAAUUGCGCAAAAUGAUGUCGGGAGCACAUCCCGAUGUCAUCGCGCACACGAGCGAUAUUGAUGUUGGCAGGCAUGCGCGGGAGUCAGAGCUCUGCACGUUGUCAA